rnacentral:rRNA from 1 species
UUAAACCUCUUCCAGAGUAUCAAUUGGAGGGCAAGUCUGGUGCCAGCAGCCGCGGUAAUUCCAGCUCCAAUAGCGUAUAUUAAAAUUGUUGCAGUUAAAAAGCUCGUAGUUGAAUUUCUGCUGCUUUGCAUUUUCUCCUAUACGAGUUUUUGCAUUGUGGCUUAUUUCGGUUAUAAUUUAUUAUUUCCGGAUGUUUACUUUGAGAAAAUUAGAGUGCUCAAAGCAGGCUUUUGCCUUGAAUAGUUUAGCAUGGAAUAAUAAAGUAGGACUUUGGUUCUAUUUUGUUGGUUUUAGGUACCAAAGUAAUGGUUAAUAGGAACAGUUGGGGGCAUUCGUAUUUAACUGUCAGAGGUGAAAUUCUUAGAUUUGUUAAAGACGAACUACUGCGAAAGCAUUUGCCAAGGAUGUUUUCAUUAAUCAAGAACGAAAGUUAGGGGAUCGAAGACGAUCAGAUACCGUCGUAGUCCUAACCAUAAACUAUGCCGACUAGAGAUUGGAGGUCGUCAGUUUUUACGACUCCUUCAGCACCUUGAGAGAAAUCAAAGCCUUUGGGUUCUGGGGGGAGUAUGGUCGCAAGGCUGA